rnacentral:rRNA from 1 species
CAGCCGCCACGGUAAUACGUAGGGUGCGAGCGUUAAUCGGAAUUACUGGGCGUAAAGCGUGCGCAGGCGGCUUUGCAAGACAGAUGUGAAAUCCCCGGGCUCAACCUGGGAACUGCAUUUGUGACUGCAAGGCUAGAGUGCGGCAGAGGGAGAUGGAAUUCCGCGUGUAGCAGUGAAAUGCGUAGAUAUGCGGAGGAACACCGAUGGCGAAGGCAAUCUCCUGGGCCUGCACUGACGCUCAUGCACGAAAGCGUGGGGAGCAAACAGGAUUAGAUACCCCUGUAGUCCCUGUCUCUUAUAC